UUUUUUUUUUUUUUCACUUAAUCUCUCUCUGGGCUAAAUUUGAGGAAUUAUGUAUUCCAACUAUGGGGGAAUUGUUCUUGGAAAAGUGAAGACCUGAAUAGGUCAAAUAGUCCUAGAAAAUGUAAAAACUGUACCAAGAAAAAGAGUGAUCAUUCAUUCAGCACUAUAGGUGAUACAAAAUGAUUAUGUACAGAGGGGCUUUAGACUAAUCAUCAGCAGUGGGGCCCUCAUAAUAGCCAAGUAGAAAGACCAUAUGUUUUAGCAUUUUAAUACUAACAUUAGUUCACCAUUGACCAAGAGCCCAUUUAUUUGCAUUAUAUCAUGACAACCCUCAGCCAGCAUAUUUAGGGUCAAGGCUACCUCUUUAAUCUAUUUAUUAUUACACUGUGCCAAAAUUUUUCAUCAAAGGAGAGAGGAAGAGGUUGACAGUGAGAAAAAGAAAAGAGAAUAAAGGUCAACACCCACAGAAAAUUACAAACUUUCUCCCUGCUUUUGGCAGUUAGAGAAUCUUUUAUCAUAGACAAAGAGGAAAGCUACUGCAUUUGGAUUUCACACAUAUAACUCUGCAAGGAACAUGUGCUAUAAAAAGAUGUGUCAGUGUUCCUGAUCCUAAAGGGCAUGUAGCUCUCACUCCUUCUUUACUCAGACGUUCAUUGAGACUUCCCUGGACUAAGGAACAAGAUGAGUCAUCAUAACAAACGCAGACUGGAAACCCAGAAAGUGACUUUUAUACAAACUGAAUUUUUGGAGUUCCACUAUGGCUCAGCAGUAACAAACCCGACUAGUAACCAUAAGGACGCAGGUUCGAUCCCUGGCCUGAUCAGUGGGUUAAGGACCCGGCAUUACCGUAAGCUUCAGUGUAGGUCACAGAUGUGGCUCGGAUCCCGUGUUGCUGUGGUUGUGGCAUAGGCUGUACAAGUGUGAUUCCAUUCUGGAAAAGAAAGACAAGCUUUUCUCACACUCCUUUAAAAAAAAGUAUUUAAAUCAUUACAACAGAAAAUGAUGUAUUUUACUUUAAAAGUAUGAUAUGGGGCAUUCCCAUCGUGGCUCAGCAGAUCUGCCUAGCAUCCAUGAGGACACAGGUUUGCUCCCUGGCCUUGCUCAGUGGGUUAAGGAUCCAGAGUUGCCACAAGCUGUGGUGUAGGUCACAGACUCGGCUUGGAUUCCGCAUUGCUGUGGCUGUGGUGUAGGCCAUAGGCUACAGCUCCGAUUCAACUCCUAGCCUGGGAACCUCUAUGUGCCACAGGUGUGGCCGUAAAAAAAAAAGACAAAAAAAAGUAUGACUAGGAAUAUCUUUUUUCAAUGUUAGCAUUUAUGAAGAAGCUAUAAAUGUGCUCACAAAUGGUCAAAAUAAAAGGAAGAGCAUCCAAAUAAUUUGUGACUUUUCAAAGUUAAGUGAUUAAAACUGUUUUGAAAGUUGAAAUUAGUCCUCAUAAAGAAAGCAUUUUCAUAAAUUUUAUUUUUACCAACAGAGAAUCAAAAUGUCUUUUGCCCACGACGGUAGAAAGGAAGAGACAGUGCUUUCAGAAUAUUAAAAUGUCACAGGACACCUUUACUGAGGUGUCAUUUAAAACAGGAGCAAUUCUAUCUCCUGUUGUCUAGGAGCAACAAAAUAUGAGGAAAAUCUGAGUGCAGUGACGGUUUUAACGUGUAUAUUAUACAAUGGAGAUGGGUAUCUUCAUGAACUUUGAUAAAUUCAUUAAAUCAAUGUUUGUUGAGCAUGUGUAUGAGGUAUUGUUCUAAGUAUUAUCUUAGAACAAUGAGGGUAUUGUUCUAAGAUAAGAAUUUGCUUCCUCCUCUGGGGGGGGUUAUUGCUAUUAAUCAAAAAAAAGGGGGGGGAAGAAAACUAUUGUCUUAAGGGUAUGGGCUCUCAGCAUCUCUCACUAGUUCAGUAAACUAAAACACUUUUUGUUUCCCUCACAGCACUUUUAUGGCAUGAUUUGGUCUCUCUGUUCAUAGUGUGGUAUCCUGAGUUUCUGCCUUUGACAUUAUCCUUUAGUUUUGUCUUCAUCCAAGAAUCCCCUUCUGAGCCUCACCACCACUCUGCCACACCCCACAUAAGCCCUGAAUCCCAUAUUUCUUGUCUUGUAUGAGUUGUGUCAGCAGAGGCUUCCUCCCUACCUUAUACCUGAAUGGAGGUCCACUCAGUGUGGAAUUCCUGAAUAGAUGGAAAAUGAGUGAAGGGAUACAGAGCGACUUCUUCUAGACUUUAAUACUCCAGCAGGUGCACUAGAGGUAAAGGACAUUUUAAAAAAAAAUCUACUCAAAGUAUUUCCCAGGAAUAAGCCACAAAUCAGAGACUGAUUUAUGUCAGCAACUCCAUGUAAUAAUUGCAAACUCACAUUAGGAGCAUUAAUCCUACUAGUCAGUCACAUUUUAGGUCAAUAUCCAGUUAAGCUUAAAAUGUAGCUUUGUUUGAAAAGAGAAGACAAAGUCAACAGGCGUGUCUAGGCAGAUCUGCGUGAACUCUCACACAGGGGCUAAUGAGAGGGGCACACAGGAGACCCUCCAUGAAUAUUUCUAAUGAAUGAAUGAAUGACUCAGAAAGAAAAACAGAAAAACCUAAGAGACAAGUGGUAUUUACAAAUUCCUCUCAUGUUGGAAGCAGGGAAAAAAUUUAAGGAAGUUGCCACUUAGACCAUGUUCAGUGUUGGGAAUACCCACUGUAAUAAAGACGUUGAUUCUCUCCAAAUUAAUCUAUGAAGUCAAUAAAAUUCAUUUCAAAUUUUAUUAAUGUUUCAUGUGGAACCUAACAAGUCAGUGUUAACUUUUGUUUGGAAGAGUAAAAGGCCAAGAAAUCAAACGUCUUAUGAAAAAGACAGGGGAUGUCCUUGCUCUAAGAAAUACUAUAAAGCUAAUGAUUAAGACAUUAAGAUUUUGGAGCUCCCACUGAGGCUCGGCAGUAACGAACCUGACUAGUAUCCAUUAGCAUGUGGGUUCAAUGCUAAUGAAUUAAGGAUCUGGUGUUGCUGAGAGCUGUAGUGUAGCUCAAAGACAUGGCUCAGACCUAGCGUUGCUAUGGCUGUGGUGUAGGUCAGCAGCUAAUGCUCCAAUUCAACCCCUAGCCUAGGAUCUUCCAUAUGCCGCAUAUUCUAUAUUCCAUCUUCCGUGUGGCCCUAAAGAAAAAAAAACAAAAAACAGAAGACAUUGAGAUUAUGACACAGUCAAGACAAACAGAUAGUUAAAAUAUUUUACAAAGUAAAUAUAGAAACCCAAAAUAUCACUGAACUAACAUUUGCAAAUCAGUGGGAAAGAAUAAACUAUUCAAUAAAUGCUUUGGGAUCGAGCGGUUAUCCAUAUUUUAAAAAAAAGUUUAAUUUAGAUCCCUAAGUUCACACCAUACAUAAAAGUCUAUUUCAGGGGAAUUAAGAGCAUAAAUGCAAAAAAAUUUUUUAAAAUUCCAGAAGAAAAUGUAGGAGAAUAACUUUUUUGAAUUGUGUUAAGGAAGGAAAUUUUGCAUUAAGAUACAAAAAGCAUAAACGAUAAAGGGGGAAAAUCAAUGAAUUUAACUAUCAAUCCAUGAAAACUCUGUAUGAAAAAAGACAAUAUUAAAAAGUGAAAAUAAAUAAAACCACUAACUUGUGCCCUUUUUAAAGAGUUAAUUCUAAGGUAUGUGAGUUAUAUCUCAAUAAAACUGAUUUUAAGAAAGUGAAAAGUACUACAUAUAAAAUAGAUAAACAACGAGGACCUUCUUAUGGCACAAGGAACCAUACUCAAUACCUUGUAAUAACCUAUAGUGGAAAAAGCAUCUGAAAAAGCAUAAACAUAUAUGUAUAACUGAAACACUUCGCUCUCCACCUGAAAACUAACACAAGAUUAUAAAUCAACUGUACUUCAAUAAAAAAAUUGUUUUGGAAAAAAAAAACAUUGAAAAGACUUAAAACAGGAGUUCCCAUUGUGGCUCAGUAGAAACGAAUCUGACUAGUAUCCAUGAGGACUGAGGCCUUGCUCAGUGGGUUAAGGAUCUGGCAUUGCCAUGAGCUAUAGUGUAGGUCACAGACUUGGCUUGGAUCUGGCAUUGCUAUGACUGUGGUGUAGGCCAGCAGCUAAUGCUCCGAUUCAACCCCUAGCCUAGGAUCUUCUAUAUGCCUCAGGUGUGGCCCUAAAAAGACAAAAAAAAAAAAAAAAAAA
rnacentral:lncRNA from 1 species